rnacentral:rRNA from 1 species
UGAGAAUCUGCCUUUUGGUCGGGGACAACCACUGGAAACGGUGGCUAAUACCGGAUAAGCCUGCGGGUAAAAGAUUAAUUGCCAAAAGAGGAGCUCGCGUCUGAUUAGCUAGUUGGUAGGGUAAAAGCCUACCAAGGCGACGAUCAGUAGCUGGUCUGAGAGGAUGAUCAGCCACACUGGGACUGAGACACGGCCCAGACUCCUACGGGAGGCAGCAGUGGGGAAUUUUCCGCAAUGGGCGAAAGCCUGACGGAGCAAGACCGCGUGAGGGAGGAAGGCUCUUGGGUCGUAAACCUCUUUUCUCAGGGAAGAACACAAUGACGGUACCUGAGGAAUCAGCCUCGGCUAACUCCGUGCCAGCAGCCGCGGUAAUACGGAGGAGGCAAGCGUUAUCCGGAAUUAUUGGGCGUAAAGCGUCCGUAGGUGGCACUUCAAGUCUGCGGUCAAAGACCGGGGCUUAACCCUGGAAAGGCCGUGGAAACUGAAGUGCUAGAGUGCAGUAGGGGUAGAGGGAAUUCCCGGUGUAGCGGUGAAAUGCGUAGAGCUCGGGAAGAACAUCGGUGGCGAAAGCGCUCUACUGGACUGCAACUGACACUGAGGGACGAAAGCUAGGGGAGCGAAUGGGAUUAGAUACCCCAGUAGUC